rnacentral:rRNA from 1 species
AAACCCGCGUCCACCAGGACGCCCCUUUCGAGUGACC